CCUUUGAAGGUAGGGAGGUUCUGUGUCCUCUCAGGAAAGACAAAGCAUGGCUAAAUGUUGGAAGAUGAAAGUACUUUUUUUUCAGCUUUCUGCCGAGCCGUCCCAGCGCAGCGGUUCUCCCCUCGAGGUUACAGCCUCUCCGAGGCUCUCGGGGCUGGAACUGCCCUCCCUCUCUGCAGCCUGCAAACCCAAAAUGUUGGCUGAAGACCUCCUUUCCCUUUUCCUCACCUCGGUAAGUGGCUACAAGUCAGUGCCGUUUAAAAUUUAAUCAGUCUCGUCCUAACAGGACAUAGUUCUUGGAUUUUAACCCAUCUUCUGCACAAACCGCUAAAUUCAGCCACACUAACUGCCUCCUGACAGAACCUUUAUCUCAAGAACCUCUUAAUGAGCUCUCAUUAGCACAAAUUGGCCCUGAACAUCUCACCACUUCCUAUCUCCUGCUUUCUCUGCAAUCCAUUAGCAUCUGUUAGCAGCCUCGUUUGAACAAUUAAACUUUACGGUUUCUAGAAACACACCAGAAACACCAGGUUCUACUGUGAGAUCUGUGUCUUUGAGAGACCUGGGAAGGGAUUCACACGGUCCAGCUUGACAGAGCCGAAAUUCUACCUGCACUUCAUUGUCCUCAGAGGAAGAUUUAACAGAAGUUGUUCAUGUCACUGGUGACUCUGCCAGUUUCUGGAUCACUCUCUUGGAGGUUCCCUGGAAAAGCACUAAAACUCAAUGUCUGAUGUUAAACAGGAAGAAUCUACAUCCUUUCCUCACAGCCCAGGGUCACGUUUCUCUGGCUGAUCUCUGCACACAACUUUGCCUUCUCCUCAGAGCUGUUUUGCCACAGCUUUUUGCUGUCCUUGUUUAUGUCCAUCUUGGAUGGCUCAAACUGCCCUAAGCAGCUGGAUUUUCACAGUCAUGAGAUAACAAAUUCUUAUUUAACUUUGUUUCAACCACCAGCAAGCAAACUCAAACUCAAAUCGCUCUAAGCCAUUACAAUGGGUCCUGAAAGUGUGCUCGUGGAUUAAAGGGGCCCUGGAAGAUGCUGAAGACCCCUGGCAGAGGAUAUGGACUCCAUCCCUACUGAAAUCAGCCCCAACAGUAAUUGUGUAGUGUGAUGUGAAUUGUUUCUCCUGCACUUGUCUGGUGAUUGUGUUUAAAGUCCCCUGAGAACAAACAGAUCAGAGAUUUUACAGCUGCA